rnacentral:rRNA from 2 species
GCUGGCGGCGUGCCUAAUACAUGCAAGUCGAGCGAACAGAUAAGGAGCUUGCUCCUUUGACGUUAGCGGCGGACGGGUGAGUAACACGUGGGUAACCUACCUAUAAGACUGGGAUAACUUCGGGAAACCGGAGCUAAUACCGGAUAACAUUUGGAACCGCAUGGUUCUAAAGUGAAAGAUGGUUUUGCUAUCACUUAUAGAUGGACCCGCGCCGUAUUAGCUAGUUGGUAAGGUAACGGCUUACCAAGGCGACGAUACGUAGCCGACCUGAGAGGGUGAUCGGCCACACUGGAACUGAGACACGGUCCAGACUCCUACGGGAGGCAGCAGUAGGGAAUCUUCCGCAAUGGGCGAAAGCCUGACGGAGCAACGCCGCGUGAGUGAUGAAGGGUUUCGGCUCGUAAAACUCUGUUAUUAGGGAAGAACA